AUGCUUUUAGAUGGUGGGAGCCUGAUUUUCAAGGACAAAUAUUUGAAUAGCACAUCCAGAUUUCAUAUGUGGAGAAGUAAGCUUAAAUUCCCGAAUGUGGAUUUUUUUUUUUUUGCAUUGAUAAUUACAAAAUCGAGGAAUUUCUCUUCACCUGAAGCCUCUUACUUUUUUUCUAGUGAAACUGGGUACAAGAGAAACCUGCUGUUGGUUACUAAAUGGCAGCUGAAGGGAAGAAUUUAUUCAAGUGUGCUCUGCAGUUACUGUUUAAAGAGCACCUGUUUGCACAGAUUGUUCCUUCCUCAAAUAGGAGCUAAAGGCUUACUUAUUAGCAUCUCAACGCUGAUUUCACAGAUUAGAAGCUGUGAAUUUGGGAUAAAGGAGCUGGUUAACUUUAAAAAUCCAUUUUGCCCUGAUCUAACUUCUACAAGGGAUAAAGAAUCCUAGGAGCCACUGAAGAGGUCUUAAAGCUACUCAUGUAUUUGUGCUGCCUGAUUUCUGCUGUGUCAAGGAUGGGAACUCCCUCAUCAUGGUGAGCAAGGAGUUCUUAUCCCUUCAGGUUUUGCAGAUGAAUGUGUUUGAAUGUAGCAGCAGAGAAUAAGUUAGUGAAGAGUCCCACAGCAAACUGGUGGGAAAACCUUUUAGAAAACAAACAACAACACGACUCAGCACAAGCAGCACCAUCUUCAGAAAAUGGUGGAAUAGAUGUGACAGUGGCAGAACUGCUGUUGGGUGAGGACUUGGGGCCUGAGGAGUCUCUUGUGAUGGGAGGAACCAGGAGAAGAGAUAAGCCCAACGAUCUCCAUUUCCAGUAAACUUGAUGAGUCAGUAGUUCCUUUUCCUUGGGUCUUCCAUCAUUUUUGGCCAUUUCCUCCCAUAUCAUUGAGUAGGAAGGUCCUGCGGUGAAAGAUGAGCGGUGUGUCUUCCUGGAUCAUGGCAUGAGAUAGCCUGCUUGCUCUUCACCAUCUUUUCAGUUAAACUACUAGGUUUUAUGACCUUGGCCACAGCCUUUCACAAGAGCAUGCCGGUCUGCCAUGACAGGAAUGAGGGAUCUGAGGAGACAGAAACCAUUUGCCUCUGGAUAUACAUACAUGAACCACCUCAACUACAACUAGAAAACCUCAAAAUCUUUCCAAACCUUCAACGAACCUCUAUACCACUUUAUGUCCCCAAACGUGCGUGUCCUUGUCGCACAGGAGCCAGCUCUUUCUCGCUCCCCCAGCCCCCAAGCUGACAAACAAGAUGGUGGCCAUGGCAGCCUCCUGCUCUCCUCAGCAUGGCCGACCUCCGUGCGCAGGCGCAGAGGCGGCCCCCGAGCAGGUGGCAGAUGCCGUGCCGACUGCGCCUGCGCAGAAGGCAGUCUGCAGCGCCCCCGCAGGUGCACCUUGUCGCUGCGCGCACGCGCAGAAGCCCCCUACAGGUGCCCCCUCCCCGUGCUAUAUCUGAG
rnacentral:lncRNA from 1 species